UCGAGCGGUAGCACAAGAGAGCUUGCUCUCUGGGUGACGAGCGGCGGACGGGUGAGUAAUGUCUGGGAAACUGCCUGAUGGAGGGGGAUAACUACUGGAAACGGUAGCUAAUACCGCAUAACGUCUUCGGACCAAAGUGGGGGACCUUCGGGCCUCACGCCAUCAGAUGUGCCCAGAUGGGAUUAGCUAGUAGGUGGGGUAAUGGCUCACCUAGGCGACGAUCCCUAGCUGGUCUGAGAGGAUGACCAGCCACACUGGAACUGAGACACGGUCCAGACUCCUACGGGAGGCAGCAGUGGGGAAUAUUGCACAAUGGGCGCAAGCCUGAUGCAGCCAUGCCGCGUGUGUGAAGAAGGCCUUCGGGUUGUAAAGCACUUUCAGCGAGGAGGAAGGGUGGUGUGUUAAUAGCACAUCACAUUGACGUUACUCGCAGAAGAAGCACCGGCUAACUCCGUGCCAGCAGCCGCGGUAAUACGGAGGGUGCAAGCGUUAAUCGGAAUUACUGGGCGUAAAGCGCACGCAGGCGGUUUGUUAAGUCAGAUGUGAAAUCCCCGCGCUUAACGUGGGAACUGCAUUUGAAACUGGCAAGCUAGAGUCUUGUAGA
rnacentral:rRNA from 1 species